UACGUAUUUCCUUUGUCCGAAAAAGCUUGUCCCUCAAAUGGAUGUACCUAGAAUCAAAUUAGUGCUAGGUACAUUUAUUUGAGGAACAAGAUUGGGACAAGUUUUUUCGGCCGGAGGGAGUACGAG
rnacentral:pre_miRNA from 1 species